AUUGAGUUGGACAAGGCCAAUGGGAAGAAUGACGGAUCAGUGGGGGGCGUGCGCUACUUCCGGUGCCCAGUGAAACACGGCGUCUUCGCCCCUCCCUCACGCGUGCAGAGGAUCCACGGCUCUGUGGACUGCUUAUCUGACCUGUCCUCGUCCCGACUCAGCCAGCCUUUGACAGGUUUGCGUCGUAGUUUCAGUACGUCCACCGCCAUCUCCACGGCGAAGGAAC